rnacentral:rRNA from 1 species
UUCCAGACUCCUACGGGAGGCAGCAGUGGGGAAUAUUGCACAAUGGGGGAAACCCUGAUGCAGCGACGCCGCGUGAGUGAAGAAGUAUUUCGGUAUGUAAAGCUCUAUCAGCAGGGAAGAAAAUGACGGUACCUGAUUAAGAAGCCCCGGCUAACUACGUGCCAGCAGCCGCGGUAAUACGUAGGGGGCAAGCGUUAUCCGGAUUUACUGGGUGUAAAGGGAGCGUAGACGGUGAUGCAAGUCAGAAGUGAAAGCCCGGGGCCCAACUCCGGGACUGCUUUUGAAACUGUGUAACUGGAGUGCAGGAGAGGUAAGCGGAAUUCCUGGUGUAGCGGUGAAAUGCGUAGAUAUCAGGAGGAACACCAGUGGCGAAGGCGGCUUACUGGACUGUAACUGACGUUGAGGCUCGAAAGCGUGGGGAGCAAACAGGAUUAGAUACCCGGGUAA